GGCCUAGCUGGUUGACACUUUGCAAAUAUGGUUUUCUAAAUUGAAACUGAAACUAGUAAGGAUAUCCAGGCUGUAGCCACUGCCAGCUUCAGACAUCACAACCUGUGUCUUUAAAUGAUCGUCCAGUCAGCGGUUUCUCCCAGAUGCAGUUAUAAGUAGCAAGAACACUAGUUCCAGACUGGAGGACCAUGUUCGAUUCCAGGCAUUCUGAGAUUGUACCUUGAGAUGUGGCAUGUGCCUUGCGAGC